AUGUUGUUUCCUAGAUUUGCAAGGAUAAGGUUGAACCACAGGUGUGGUUUACAUGCCUCAGUGCAUUGGUAUCUCCAGGCAAAGCACAAAUCCCAACCCCAACACACCGACGAAAUGCGCAGUGGUGCCCUUUCUUUAGAUUGUGGCAGGGAAAGUAGCCUAAGCAGUGUCUCUACAUUUACCACGGAUUCCCUUGAGAACAAGUUGAGCUCUGCAAAUUCUAAGGACCAUUCUUCUCGAGGAUAUGCAUAUUCAGAAAGGACAGACGUGUCAGUUAUGCAAGUAAAAAGUGUUUAUUCAUCAGACAUUCGGGUCAGUGUCUCCAGUGCUCUCUGCACAUCCAGCCAUGGUUCUGGUGGUGAGGAUUCUGAAUCAUUUGGGGAGAAGUCAUGUGUGACACCACUUCAAUAUCAGCGUCUGAUGGAAACACACUCUCCCCUGGUGCAACUACCGAUAUUCUUGUGCCAAAGCCCCUAG
rnacentral:rRNA from 1 species